rnacentral:snRNA from 1 species
UGUGAGGGCGAUCUGGCUGCAACAUCUAUCACCCCAUUGAUCACCAGGGUUGAUUCGGCUGAUCUGGCUGGGUAGGCAGGUGUCCCCUUCCUCUCUUGGUUGAAGAAGAUGACCUUCCCUGGUAGAGGAGAGGACCAUUCUCUAGUCAAGGGUAUACGAGUAGCUGUGCUCCCCUGCUAGAACCUCCCAACAAGCUCUCAAGGUCCAUUUGUAGGAGAACUUAGGGUAGUCAAACUUCCAGGACUCCAGACACAUCCAAAUGAAGUGCUGCACAUGACAGUCUGCCUU